rnacentral:rRNA from 1 species
UACGUAGGGUCCGAGCGUUGUCCGGAAUUAUUGGGCGUAAAGGGCUCGUAGGCGGUUGGUCACGUCGGGAGUGAAAACUCAGGGCUCAACCCUGAGCGUGCUUCCGAUACGGGCCGACUAGAGGUAUGCAGGGGAGAACGGAAUUCCUGGUGUAGCGGUGGAAUGCGCAGAUAUCAGGAGGAACACCGGUGGCGAAGGCGGGUCUCUGGACAGUUCCUGACACUGAGACACGAAGGCCAGGGGAGCAAACGGG